CAUUGCUUGGUGGUUACUGUUAUUAAAAUCAAAUGGAUGAUGCACCCACUACAUUUCAUUUGAUGAUUGCACAAAACUGCUCGCUUUCACUCACAACCAAUCUAACAUUGAUUCAUGAAUGUUACAGAAUGGAUCAGUCCUUGAUGUUGCCACCUAUAACUAUCUCAGGGGGUGGCUUUUUCCUCAUUGAUAUGCCUCAGGUUCAUGAGGCAAUUGCUUUGUAUAGACAAGUGAAAGACGGAAUGUCCAUAUCAUCAGCUAUAACACCCUUAUUAGCGGCAUAUGUGGCAGGGGAACUUGAAGAUGCUAUAGAACUCUCCAAUGCUUUGCCUAAGAAAGGUUUGCAACAUGAUGCUUUGUCAUUUGGUGCUAUAAUUGCAGGGCUAUGUAAACCAACCAAAUGAGUGAUGCCUCCGAGCUGCUUCAAGAAAUGAAAGAGAAGCUGCACUCUCCACCCGAGCACUGGUUAAAAAUGGUCAGAAAAUGAGGGCAAUGCACGGGUUGCACAAUAAGGUUGAGAGUGACUGUAUAUAGUAGAGAGUUCUUAUCUCAAUGAGAGAUGAUUGGAGCGGCUACAUUGAUCCUCAGUUCUGUCUGUUUUGACUAUAUUUGGCAAGAAGACCUAAAACUAGCUGAAAGUUGUAUCCAUGGACUUGAGAGAACACCAAUACAAACAUGGUCCAGAUUGUGUUGAUCUGUGAGUCUCCUCCCAAUGGAACUCUUGUUGGUUCUUCAUGACCAUCUUCAAAACUCUACCAAGCUACAACAAAAGUUUUUCUUUACAUCUGUUUUCUCAUUGAACCUUUAUGCUAUAAAUCUUCAUUGUGGAUUGA